CAACUAAGACAAAUUGACUUGAUGGAAGACUGUGUUGCCAAAACAUCAACAACAUUGUCCAGAAUGAAUAAACUGCUCAGAAAGGUUUGCAUCAAGGCGUUGAGGAAACUGAAAAGUAGAACAGGUCUAAGAGUUGGAGGGAAGUCAAGGGAGAAGUUUGUGGCCAUAGAUGAGUCUAAGUUUGCUCACAAGAGAAAGUUUAAUCGAGGCCGCUUUUGUACUACUUGGCAGAGAAGAAAAGGUUGGGUGUUUGGGAUGAUGGAGGUUAAAGGAGCUCGCCGCCUACCAUUGUUAAAGAUGGUAAAGGACCGUUCCAGGAACACAUUGAUGCCCAUUAUCACAAAGCACAUCAGAAGAGGGUCGACUGUUUAUAGUGACAAUUGGAGGGCAUAUCUGAAUGCACUACGACCACUAGG